CAAUCGGCGGGACGACUAGGUUUCUGUCGCCGCGUCUCCCUUCUCUCUCUCGCUCGCAUCUCUCCAUCGCUCCUCCUUCUCUUCGCGCAGCCGCCGCUCCUCUCCGCCUCCCUCCUCCUCCACAGGAUUGCGGCCUUCCCUCCCUUGUGCUAUCCUCUCACGGCCAUGAACGGCGGCGAGCUCGCCGUUGCCUUCAUCGGGAGGAGAGCGGACCGACGGACCUGGAGCAUCCCCAUCGACGGGAGGAGCGGGAGGAGCGCGGGAACCGCCGGCGCCCCUUCGGCAACCAGGUCUUCUCCCUCGCCAGCCGCCGUGCCCCCGUCAAGCUGUCACAUCGUCGGGAGGAGAUGAAUCACUGCUCUCCCUGGAGGAGAGGGUCGACGGGAGCUAGCGAGACGGAUCUGCAGCGCUCGCCUCACCUCAGGGUGGUGCCGGGUGCGUGGCUGUUGUUCCUUCGGAAUUGGCCGGCCUACCUCGUGGGUGUCAAUCCAGGUCGAUGUGCUUGGCCAGAAGAAGGCAUGGACGCCAUCGACCUCGCCCGCCUCUGCACAUUGCAGGUAUAGCAGAUCGUCCUCCCUUCUAAUUUGUUUUCGUAGAAUUGGAUGAACACCCAUGGUUCAGUUUGGGCUCAUGCAAUGUCUGUUCUUCUCGAAUGCUUACUUUGGAUGCGUCGUGUGAGUCAAUGUUGAUAUUUUGUUCCUAUUGAUUUACAGGUUAUACUAAUGAAACUUUAGUUAUUAAGGGUGUAUAAUAUCUUGGAAGCUUAGUGUUGUCAUUGAAUGUUCUUCUGCAUUUAAGCUAAAAAAUGUUCAUCUGCAUUGAUUUAUUUUUAGUUGAGUAUGAAGGAGCAAAGAGAGCUACAUAAUUCUUAUUCUUCAGUAUCCACGUGAAUUAGUUUUCACAUUGGUUUGUGUGCUGAAAGCUAUUGAAACAUAUCCCUUGUAUUGUCAAAUGUUGUGUUGUGUGAAUCAUUUCUUUGUUCUGGAUGUCCUCGGCAAGAAUGGAGCAUGGACCUUAACGUCCCUAGGUAUAGCAGAUCCUCAUCCCUUCCUUUUCUAAUUUAUUUUCAUAUAAUAGGAUCAACACCCACAGUUCAGUCUGGGUUCAUAAAGUGUGUGCAUUUAUCUCCAUUGCAUUUCUCACAAUCUGAAAAUUCUUGCUUACAGUUUGUUAAGGUGAAGAAUUCUGCUUAGGCUACUAUUUCUUUUUUGAGUAUGAGUUCAUUUUCCUUUUCCAUGGGAUGGCUAUGAUUGAAAAACUCUCUUAAGCUUCUAUUCUCGCUCUAUACAGUUCCUUUUAACUCUGAACCGAAUGAAAAAUCUGAUGGGACUGCACAUAUAUCUUGCACUGAAUCUGGCCAUAUGUUUAAGUAAAAUAGUUCAGGUUAUAAGCCCGGCAAGAAAUUAAAUAUAAGAUGUGCUUUUGAAUUGCUGACGACCAAAGUCCGCAAAUAGACUAUGGUCUUCUGAUCUUUCAGCUUAUUGCAGUAAUAUUAUUCCUUCUUCUUUUCUCCAGGCAGAAAAGACAUACUGAUUUGAAGACCACCUCAAUUGUUUGGGAUCUGGAUUGUCUGUACAUAUUUUGUUGGUGGUUGGCAGAUCUGGUCCAUCAUAAUCUUUGUCCUGCUACCAUGCAGUUCUAUGUACCAUGCAAUUUUUCCCCUCCAUCCUGGUCUCAAGAUACUGCCGAGGGAGCGGCUGAUGGAGGCGCUCUGCAAAUGGUGUACGAGUCAAGGAGAUCCACCGCAAGCGGCUCAUGAUGGGCGCAUUGGGGAUUAGAUCUCCGUUGGAAAGAUGCAUCCAGGCCUGGCCACCUCUCCAGCACGACAUGCCAGCCAGUUCUCUCUUACCCCUCCUUCCACACCAUAUCGUCGUCUCACCCACCAGAGUAAUGGAAUGUUAAUUGGCUGGCUGGUGGUGGCAUGUUCAAGUAUGGGAAAUGAUGAGCUCCUACUUUUUAUGCCAGCCCUAUGCCGUAGGUCAGCUGCGACCUUUUUCCCCACAAGUUGGUGAUAAUCAGUUAUCCUCUAGAGGGAAUUGUGAUUGUGAUUAGUAUCUUUAGACAUUAGCCAUAUUCAUCAGUACUCAUCGUUUCUUUCAUUUCUUCUCAUUUUUAAAUGUAUUGGCCUCUGGUAUAUACAGCUGAAAUCGAUGUGCCAAACAACAAGAAAUAUCUAGCUCCCUUCGUGUACGCUUCUCUGCCACAACAUGGGUGCAAAAUUAGAAGAACAACUAAUCUGUCUUUAUGGUGCAUGCUUAAUUGAAUUAAUGUGUCCUUGUUGGUGCAUAUAUCUAGCUCCGAUUGGUUCUUGGUUUCUCUGACUAUUAGAAAUUAGCCGAAUUAAUGUGAUCUUAUUUAAAAUUUUGGCGGAGUAAACAUUCACAGAGACCUAAUUAAGAUUGAUUAAACUUAUAUUAUAUGUUUGUUAGUUCCUUUAUACUCCAAAAGAAAAAAAACAUGACUAACAAAACUCUGUCAAUGAUCAAUAAUGCAGUGUAUAAUAAUUUAUAAGAACAAGUACGAUCUCAAGUGAACCUUUUGUUGGAAACGUCUGUUUCUAAUUGAACUAUAGCCUAUAAAAAUAAUUAUAGCAAGGUUGUGUUUACAUUUGUACCAGCAAGUAAAUCCACUAUCAACUGCAUUGUGCAAUAAUGGUAAAUAGCUUGUUGAUUCAGACAGUUGUGAAACUCAACUGACAAAUGUAGGAUGAAUGGAGCAAACAUCAAUGACCGCAUACAGAUUAAUGACGAUGAGGUGUUAGUUCCCACCCCUAUUUGUUAUGAUCGCUUAUGGAUCGGAAUUUGUUGGAUUAGUAUAUAGCACACGUUGCCGUUCCUUGCUUAAUAGACAUGCACUGCUCUGUUUGUCAUGGCCGCUCUGCACUAAAUGUAUGAUGUUUCA